UGGGGAAUAUUGGACAAAGGGCGAAAGCCUGAUCCAGCCAUGCCGCGUGUGUGAAGAAGGUCUUCGGAUUGUAAAGCACUUUAAGUUGGGAGGAAGGGCAGUAAGCGAAUACCUUGCUGUUUUGACGUUACCGACAGAAUAAGCACCGGCUAACUCUGUGCCAGCAGCCGCGGUAAUACAGAGGGUGCAAGCGUUAAUCGGAAUUACUGGGCGUAAAGCGCGCGUAGGUGGUUCGUUAAGUUGAAUGUGAAAGCCCCGGGCUCAACCUGGGAACUGCAUCCAAAACUGGCGAGCUAGAGUAGGGCAGAGGGUGGUGGAAUUUCCUGUGUAGCGGUGAAAUGCGUAGAUAUAGGAAGGAACACCAGUGGCGAAGGCGACCACCUGGGCUCAUACUGACACUGAGGUGCGAAAGCGUGGGGAGCAAACAGGA
rnacentral:rRNA from 1 species